rnacentral:rRNA from 1 species
GACGAACCGUGCGAACGUUAUUCGGAAUCACUGGGCUUAAAGCGCGUGUAGGCGGGCGGGAACGUCGGUUGCUGAAAGCCCCCGGCUCAACCGGGGAACGGGCGCCGAAACGACCCGCCUCGAGGGACGUAGGGGGACCUGGAACUUCCGGUGGAGCGGUGAAAUGCGUUGAGAUCGGAAGGAACGCCCGUGGCGAAAGCGAGGUCCUGGACGUUUUCUGACGCUGAGACGCGAAAGCCAGGGGAGCGAACGGG